GUUUCACGGUUUUAAAUUACAGUGUCAUUUAGGCGUCAAAAUAUUUUUUUUGUAAAAUUUUAAACAAUAUGACUGUAAAAUUAUUGUGGAAUUGUGCGCGAAUAAUCCUACUUUCAGGAUUAUCAUUUGGUUUGUAAAAGGAAUCAAACUGAAUCCCUAGAAGUGCAGCAGGAACAUUGCGAUCCGACGAGCGGGAACGAGUGGUUUGGCUUCAUAUGUUUUGUGUAUCGCUCUUAAGUCUAGUGAGCGUUGCAACUUUAGUUAUCUGCCUACCGCUCUGUACCCGUGGAUUGUUCGAGCGCAAGUGUUCCUGCCCUACAAAUCCUAUCUGUCCUGACUGCGGAAUGCCGUAUUGAUAUAUCAAGCUAUUAGUUCUCUUGAACUUUAUCAUUUAUAUCAUCUACUUUGUUCCUCUCUUGUAGUACGAUUACUCAAACUUCAUCCCUAUUGUCUUAAAUGUUUUUAUCUUAAGUAUCGUAAAUUGUUUUAAUUUCUAAUGUUCUGAUAAAAAUACUAGCUUUGAAAAUGAUUUGUAUGAGUUGCGCGUCUGCCAUAGCAGCCAUAGGCCUAAUUGCGUGUGGGCCGCUGUUUUGUGAAAAGUUUUUGAGAUGCCUUUUAAAAUCAACUAAGAAAUAGUUCCUGAGUUUUUUUGGAAUAAAAGUUCAUAUACAUUAAA